UGACCUGCAUGUUAAAGACAGAUUCACGCUUUCUUUCCCUAGUCUUCGUCCCUGCUCCUCCCCCUCAGCCUUUCCAUUCGUUUUUUCUUCUGGAAGACCCAGCCAGCUGAACACAAACCAGCAUCAACAGCCUUUCUAAAGAGACUCGGAGAAUUACCUACACUGUUACAUUUCUACGUUCUUUGCUACAUGGGAAUUUUUUAACCCGUUUUGGAAGAACGACGCGCUCUUCACUACAGGAUCUCUUCACUCUCUUGCCCACGUGCCACUUCAAAGAAGUGUUCCAGGCCCUCCCCGUCCUGCUCCCCGUCACCUUCGCGCCAGUCCCGAGCUGGUGGUGUCCGAAUGCUCCGGAGACCUCUGGAUCUCGGGGUCUCCAGGAGCAGGGUUUUUCUGUUGAUGACAUUCGCUGCGUUCCUCGGGUCCGUAGCAGCAUCACCGGGGUUGCUCAGAGUAAUCAACCUGGUGGACUGUGCUGGUGGUAGGAAUAGAGGGCGCGUGAGUAGAGAGCAGAAGGAAGAGGAAAAACGCUCCUGGGACAGCACAGCACGGUGCUGAGCGGCUGCUGGUUCCACGCGGGGGCCUGGCAAAGAGAGGAUCUGCCCCAAAAAAUCAUGGGGGGGAUGAGGGGAAACGCUCUGGAGGCUGAUCCAGCCUUCCACCCGGGGGAAUUCCCCUUUGUCACUCCCAGGGCACGCGGGAGGCUCUGGGAAGUUCCCCCAGAAGUCGCUAAUUGAGGCUGGGGGGGUUUUGCAUCGACCUCAGGAUGGUUUUAGGGUUCCUCGCUCGAUCCUCGGGGGGGGGAAGGCUGCUCCUGGCCUCAGGAAGCGUCCGGCUGGGAGGAGGGCGUGAGGUGGAGAACGCCCCUUGGGGAGAACCGGUGGGAGUGGGGGAGGAGCAGGUGUAGCUGACGAUUAAUAUCAAGAAAAGACAGAUUUGUAAAUGCUCCGUAACUCCGUGGUUAAUGUAACGUGUGAAGAAUAAAAGAUUUGGACACUCGCCUCCUGCUCCCUCUUACCCCCCAUGCCUGAAGCCAGACCUGGGGCCGGGCCCGUUCCAGGGCUGCCACCUGCGGUGUGUGGGGUCAGAGCCUCCUCGGUGUCCUGAGGGCUGCGAGGCACCGCCUGGAUGAUUUUUUUCCACUUUUGCCAUUUUUUUUGGCUCCUUUUCUGCUGAAAACCCGGCGCCGUGCUUCAUGCACCUGUAUUUCGGCACGGCACCCGCGGUGUUUAUGAACUGCUGCUUUCCCCCUCUGCCCUUUAUGUGCCAACCAAGUGUUGGGAUCAAGCAAAAGGAGAAGUUUUAGGCCUGUAGGAUGGGGCGGAAAGAAAAAAAAAUGUGAAUCAUCCAAAAUAAUGAAACUAGGAUUUUUUUUUCUCUUAUUUUUUGUAUCUCCUCAGGGCUACUCACCCUCGCUCAUUACGCUGCUCGCCCUGUUGUCCUUGUAGCUNNNNNNNNNNAGCAAAAGGAGAAGCUCUAGGCCUGUAGGAUGGGGCGGAAAGAAAAAAAAUGUGAAU
rnacentral:lncRNA from 1 species